rnacentral:rRNA from 1 species
UGGGGAAUAUUGCACAAUGGGCGCAAGCCUGAUGCAGCCAUGCCGCGUGUAUGAAGAAGGCCUUCGGGUUGUAAAGUACUUUCAGUCGGGAGGAAGGUGUCAAGGUUAAUAACCUUGGCAAUUGACGUUACCGACAGAAGAAGCACCGGCUAACUCCGUGCCAGCAGCCGCGGUAAUACGGAGGGUGCAAGCGUUAAUCGGAAUUACUGGGCGUAAAGCGCACGCGGGCGGUUUCUUAAGUCUUAUGUGAAAGCCCCCGGCUCAACCGGGGAGGGUCAUUGGAAGCGGGGAGAGUUGAGUGCAGAAGAGGGGAGUGGAAUUCCAUGUGUAGCGGGGAAAUGAGUAGAUAUAUGGAGGAACACCAGUGGCGAAGGCGGCUCUCUGGGCUGUAACUGACGCUGAGGCUCGAAAGCGUGGGGAGCAAACAGG